ensembl:lncRNA
AUGAGUUUUGCUUAUGCAGCACAGGGAGGUGAAGCAGAGGAAAACAAGCAGAAGAAAGAGAAAGUGAAGAAAAGAAAAAUAGAAGGUAGAGAGGAAGAAGACAUACCUGAGGAAAGAAACUAUACAGUUCUGGGAAGGCUGUCAGUGCCAGGCACCAAAAGAAAGUACACGGUCACUCAAGAUGAACUGAAGAGAAGAAUCAUGGCAGAAAACAUGUCAAACAACAUUAAAAGAAGCCUGAUUAGGGUUCGUAAAGAGGAUCUCCCUCAGGAGCUCAGAGAACAACGGCUGAUAAAAGCCAAGACAAAAAUAAGCAUUGCAAAGAAUACACUCUGUACUCUCCAGUGCUUGCUGAGGGAAAAACUGGGAGAGGAAUCACCUUUUAGUCUGCUGACCCAUACAUUUGGACCACAAGUUGUAGAUGUUGUCAUCUCAUUUUUAAUCAGUCAGUUUAAGUAGAGGUACACUGAGCCAGUGAACACAGUAACACAUGAAUGUUAAAUUGUUACAUUGUCAUCUCCGUUAAUUAAGUAAUGUUACAGUUAAUUGAUUUAAAUAUACAACAUAUCACUGUUAGAGAACGCAUUCAGACAGCAGAGUAAUGUUAAAUGUUCAUGGUUCACUUAGCUUAACUUACAAUUAAAGAUUGCAUUAUUUUUUCAGACUUGUUUAAAACAAUACAUAGUAAAAUAAACGGUAACACUUUAUAAUAACUGCA